UAGUCCACGCCGUAAACGAUGAUUACUCGUUGUUGGCAAUACACCGUCAGCGACUGAGCGAAAGCAUUAAGUAAUCCACCUGGGGAGUACGUUGGCAACAAUGAAACUCAAAGGAAUUGACGGGGGCCCGCACAAGCGGAGGAACAUGUGGUUUAAUUCGAUGAUACGCGAGGAACCUUACCUGGACUUAAAUGUAGAUUGACGUACUUAGAGAUAGGUAUUUCUUCGGACAAUUUACAAGGUGCUGCAUGGUUGUCGUCAGCUCGUGCCGUGAGGUGUCGGGUUAAGUCCCAUAACGAGCGCAACCCCUAUUGUUAGUUACCAGCACGUAGUGGUGGGGACUCUAGCAAGACUGCCUGGGUAACCAGAGAGGAAGGUGGGGAUGACGUCAAAUCAGCACGGCCCUUACGUCCAGGGCUACACACGUGUUACAAUGGUCGGUACAAAGGGCAGCUACUAAGUGAAUAGAUGCUAAUCUCUAAAACCGGUCUCAGUUCGGAUCGGAGUCUGCAACUCGACU
rnacentral:rRNA from 1 species